UUCACCUUGCCUAGAGCAUGUGCUCUGAAACACAAGAAAUUAAAAGAAUGGGUGGGGAGAGGUGGAACAGAAUGAGAACCUACAGCACCUAGAAAUGGAGCCAUAUUCUCCUGUGACCAGCCUGGAAAUAAUGAGCUACUUAGUGGUUGUGUCAUUCCUGGCACCACUCUUGCUAUUAAACCUUAUCUCCCCAUGAGUAUCCAGUCAGGCCAACCUCUCUAGUGCCUGCUCAGCCUUCUGCCUCCUUUCUAGUGCCAUGACACUCCUCUACUGAUGCUAUUUCUCUUUCUUUCACUUUUCUGUUCUGUCUACACACAUUCUAUCCACUUCUCAGUACAGCUAAAUUUCUAGCUCCCUCAUGAAUAUUUCCCAAGUGUGGCGUUCAUAUACCAUCUCAGAACCCCAGAACCCCAAUGGCAUUGUGAUUUUCUCAUGGGUUCCUCCACUUGUUUUCUGAAGAGACUGUGGGUAGAUUGGUGAACCUUGACUUGCCAAAAUUGUAAGAUAUAUCAGGGUAAGCUGAUAAUUAUUUAUCAUAAAACACAUUCCACACAGCAGGUGCUCCGUAAAUACCUGACUUCCAAACCUGAUUCCCGUUGUUGAUCUUAAAUGAAUGACCAUCCACACUUGUCUCAAAGAUCUUCAACAUCAGAGUAAGAUAUGCUGUCACCACAGUCACCAGCGAUUUAUUACCCUUUCCUCUUUCCUACUCCCUGUUUUAAUGUGUUCUUCAGUAUACACACCUUCCCCACACCAGAUCUUCUCCAAAAUAUAUCUCCCACCAGCUAAAAAGUUGACCUGCUGUACUCCUCUGCUGUGGAAGACCUUUUACCUCUAUACUUAUCCCUGUUACUUGGAAGGAGGAGUUUGUUUUUCCUACUUAGAAAAUGGCACUUUUCCUGGUACUGCCAUGACAGUUACUAGAUGGAGCCUUUGUUUUGUACCUUUGUGAAUAAAACCUGAGGUGCAAAGGAUGAAACUCAAUGAUAUUUAUGAAUCGGUUUUAAAAGUACUUAUCAGGAUGGGGAUUUCAUAAGGCAUGUAUCUGGUUCACUGGUAACACAGCCUAGUCCUAGAGAAAUUUUUGAAGCUUAUGAUUGAUUGCAGAACUAUUUCAUAAUCAUCAGAAACCUUUAUUAAGCACCUCCUUUUUUUCUUUGUUAUUUGCAACAAUUUAAUCAUGUGUUACUUCAGCCUAGGUUUGAAAUAUAUUAUUUCUCCCACUUGAGGUGCUUAACAUAAUCUGAAUUAUGGAAGGAUGGCUAUGGAUGGAUAAGUGAAAAUUCCCAUCAUACUUGCAGAUAAUCACAGACCAAUGAGAGUACUGUUUGCUAUGAAUUGUAAAUAGGUCCUGAUCAUAGUUUUAUGCCAGGGCAUCCACAUGCUGCUACUACACUCCUCCUUGCAACAAAAGACAGUUGACAGGGUGAAUGUGGUGAGGUGAUAUUUAAUGUUAGCAGUAAUAAUUUUAACUUACAUUUGCUGAAUUUGUCUUAAAUACUAAGCACUUUUCUGAGUACCUCACUCAUUCAUCUUAUUUUACCUUUUAAAACUCUACUAUUGCCAAGAGGUAGAAACAACUCAAAUGCCCAUCAACAGAUGAAUGGAUAAACAACAUAUACAUACAAUGGAAUAUUAUUUGGCCCUAAAAAGGAGUCAAGUUCUGAGACAUGCUGCAGUGUAGAUGAACCUUGAAAACAUUAUACUAAGUGAAAUUAGCCAGACACAAAAGGAUAAAUAUUAUUAUUAUUCUGCUUGUAUGAAAUAUCUACAAUAGGCAAAUUCGUAGAGGCAGCAAGUACCUUAGAAGUUACCACGGACAUUGGAGGGCUGGAGGAAAAGGAUGUCAGUUAUUGCUUAAUGAGUGUAGUAUUUCCAUUUGGGGUAAUAAAAACUUUUGGAAAUAAUAGUAAUAGUUGCACAGCAUUGUGAAUGUAAUUGAUGCCACUGAAUUGCAUACUUACAAGAUUGUUAAAAUGGCAAAUUUUACGUUAUUUAUAAAUAUUUUUCCAUAAUACAAAAUUGUGGAAAUACCCUAUUAUUAUAAAAUCCAAUUUGAAAUUUGAGUAUAUCAAGAAUGUUUAAACAAAUAGGAGUUAUAUAUUCUAAUAUAAAAAGAAGUACAGGAAGCUCACAUGGCAUUGAUUUGUGGUCUCGGCAACAUGCAGGCCAUCCUUUCUUUGAAUCUCUUGGCUUUCCCUAAUGAUAACAACAUGGUUUCUGGAACUCUACAUAUUGCUUUCAUGUUCAAGGUAGAAAGAAGAAGAAAGGGGUGAAAAAGUCUAAUCUUUUUCUUAUAUCAGUGAAAAAGAAAGGCUUUUCUCAUGCCCCCAAUAAAUUUCCACCUAUAUCUUACUGUGCUUUAGGCUAUCUCUAGCAACAAGACACAGUAGUGUUUACCUUUUCCAGGCUCUACCAGGGAGGCAGAAAGGAGAUGGGUUGGAAAUAUCUGUUAAGGAAUGAACGCUGUCUGGUACAAUGACAAAAAUGAAUGGAAAGGUUAAAUCAGUUUCUCAACCUGGCAGCUGACAUUUUCGACUGGAUAAUUCUUUGUUGUGGGGGGCUUUCCUGUGCACUAUAGGCUAUUUAGCAGCACUGGUGGCUUCUCCCAACUAGAUGCCAGUAGUCUUCCCAUCCCCCACCCCCAGUUAUGAUAAUCAGAAAUGUCUCUAGACAGUGUCAAGUAUUUGGGGGGAGGGAGCACAAAACUGCCACCAGUUGAGAACUUCUGGGUUAGAUGACUGGCCAAAGUCUCAUUGCUGAUAGGUGGUGGAGAUGAGGUUUGCACCCAGGACAUCUGACUUUAGAACCUUACCUCUUGGCCAUUCUUUUGACCAGCCUGUACAGUUGAGCGAACGGCCUUGUAGUUCACAGGACCAAUGGAUCAUCUGAACUAACUUGCAAAAGACUGAGUUAAUGAGACAUCAAUGAAUUGCUCUGCUGCCUGUCCACAUGCUUUUCCUGAGCACUUGUUAUUUAGCCACAACCUUCUACAGUUUGGAAGUAAUAGCAGGUGUAUCAGGGAGAAGCAGGCAUCGAAUCACUAUCCCAGACAUUCUCAAUAGGGCAAAAUGGUUCUUAGGAAAGCAAAAAUGUCUUUGAUAAUUAAAUGGUUUGUGGCCCCCUAAAAUUCUGCCCCCCCAACAAUAGAUCUUAUCUCAGUAUUUAAUUUCUCUGUAUUUAAUUUUUUUUUCUCUUUGAUGGAGCAUAAUGGAAAUACACGUUACGAUACACUGCUGUAGCCUGAGGAACUAGGUUGAGCAGACUAUGUUUCAGAAAAGGUGAGAAAUACUAUUACCUAAAAUGAGAUGAUGUGUAUGUCUAGAAUGUGAAUGUUGAGUGAAUAUUAGGAAUCCCCCUGGGUGUUUUCAUUAGAUGUAUCCCUUUAGCUAUUGUUCCAGUCACUAGGCAUCCCAAUUAAUUCACUUUCAUGUCUCUCUAUUCAUGAAUGUAAUAAACUUUUAUAUUUGUCUCUUUUUACCAUCACAUUAGUUUCACUGGGAUAUUUCCAACAAGUGAAUUCCCUCCUCUCUUCAUGUCUUUAUUAUUCAAAUAGGCAGCUCUCUGUUUUUUUUUUUAAGUUUAUUUAUUUCAAGACAGAGAAAGUGCAAGUGUGUGGGUAGAGAGAGAGCAGAGAGAGAGAGAGAGAAUCCCAAGAAGGCUCCAUGCUAUCAGCUUGGAGGUCAAUACGGGGCUCAAACUCACCUACUGUGAGUCAUCACCUGAGCAGAAACUAAAAGUCGGAUAUUUAACCAACUGAGCCACUCAGGCACCCCUCUAGUGUUUUCUUUAAAGAAUAAAAGUGUCUAGGGGUGCCUGGGUGGCUCAGUCAGUUAAGCUUCCAACUUUGGUUCAUGAGGUCAUGAUCUCAUGGUUGGUGAGUUCGAGCCCCACAUCAGGAUCUCUGCUGUCAGCACGAGCCCACUUCGGAUCCUCUGUCCCCCACUCUCUCUCCCCCUCCCCUGUUCACACAUACUCUCUCUCUCUCUCUCUCUCUCUCUCAAAAAUAAAUAUAUAUAUUUUUAAAAGGAAUAAACGUGUCUAGAAAUACACUCAUGGUAUUAAAAUCUCUUUGGAUCAUCAGCUGAUUAUUCACAUCAUAGGAUAAUAGGUAAAUAUAGUGAGACAAAUAAGCUUAAAAGCCAUAAAAUUCAAUAGAUUUAGGUCUGAUUCCUCGAUUUUGGAUAAAUUAUAAUCUCAUUGAGUCUUCAUUUUUUAUCUGUGAAAUGGGCAUAAUGUCUACUUUAUGUAAGCACUGAGAUGAGAAUUAGAGGAGGUACUACAUAUCAACUGCUUGGCAGAGAGCCUAGAGCAUAGUAAGUGGCCAGUAUAUGGUAACUACUCCAGUAGCAUCUGUAAAUAACACUUAGUAAAUCUUUUUUUUUUUUUUUUCUUCUGGGAGAAGAAAAGGAUAGCAGUAUGAGAAAGGACUGGCUCAAAUCAAAGUGAUAUAAAAGGCACCUCUUCAAUCAGUGUUUGGCUCAGGACAGUAAGCCGGGCCUGACUGUACAUGUUCUGAACCAAACCAUCGUUCUGGUCUAGCACAAAGACAAGAUGCCUGAAGUUCAUCUAGGAGAAAAGGCAAUACUGAGCUCUCUCUCUCUAAUAUUCCUUCCUAGAGCUGACGCUGCCCAACACUUAGAGCACAUCACUUAACCAUCCAUUUAUCAACACCCUCUUUUCACAAAUUAGGAGGAUGGUACCUGCCUCUGUCUUCUUAAGAGAUGGUGAAGACCAAAUCACUUCAUUCAUUUAUAUCUAUGCCACACAAGGCAGAAUAAAGCACACCUACCCACACAGAGUUUACAUUUGACCCAAUUCCAUAAGAUCUUUCUUAUUUAUUUCAAACCCUUUGCUUAGUAAACACUUGAGAAAUAACAAUGGCUCAUUUGUUGUUUUGUUAUUCUUCAAAAUAUAUACAUUUAAAAAUGCACAAUAGCAAUUUAAUGCUGACUGGUGACCUUGGGAAAGUGGGUGCUCAUUGUUGCUAGGGUAUCUGAACUGAAGUGGGUGGUUUGUAUGAACUAGCUAUGCUCCUGGGUACACAAUUCGAUUGUCUAUUGAUCUGGGAUAAUAAAGUGUUCAGAGAAUACUUGCUUUUUAUAAUGGAUCAGAUAGAGGUAGAAACUAGAUGACUUUUGAAAGUAAAUGUUGUUUCUACUUUUUAAAUCUCUUAUCUCUGAAAAUAACUUUAUUAUUUAGCUGAAAUUUCUUCCUUGAAUACUAAAGCUGUAGAUGGGGUUUUGGAGAAGGGAUGUGUAAUUAUUUCUGAAUCUUAUUUUUGACACCUUUUCCAAGCAGUUAAAAUAUAUGUGAGAUAUUAACAUUAAGGAGCUACAAAAAAAAAAUAACCCAGAGCUUUAUUUUAUAUUUAUGACUUAAUCUGGCUGUAAAGCAAACGGCUCACGAAAUAUUCUAACAGUCACUUUUAUACCGAGAGCACUAGUUUAAACUCACUAUAACAGGUACUAACAAUGAUUUUAUUUGCUAGAAAGGCACAUAUUCUAAAUUUUGACCUAGGGAACUUCUAUUAAUUCCAAUACAUGAAGAGUCACAGGAUAAUCUUACAAAAUAUUCACACCUAAACAUUGGACUCUGGUACAGUGUCACAGAAGACACUGCACCAGAGUCCAUAAACAAUUCUUUCUCACUUAGAAAUGGCAAUUUACUUGAAAUUGUUCCUAGUCCCAACUAUCUGAUUUGGAGAUUUUAUUACCUUUUAGCCAUUAUCUCAUAAAACAAAAAAUAAAUAUAUACAUUCGUCUCUUCUGAAACAUCAUUUUCCUUCAAAUCAACCUAAUUCCCCUCUUCUCCCGUCUCCUCAUAAUAUUAUCAUAUAGGAACUCUUUUUUUUUUUUUUUUUUUUUUUUUUUUAACUGCAGGGACGGAAUUGUCUACCUAUAACGUUUUAAAGCACACAAGUCAUGAAAUCCUAGGGCGAAAGUUCUCCCAACACCAGUAAAUCUUCCUCAUGGCCCUUUCUGCAUCCUCCAGUGCUCAUUUCAUAGCCCACCUAGACAUCCUCCAUCCUUUAUAGGAAAACAUUAAUUUUCGGUUUCCUGGCUUUGACAUGAUUAUGGUCCAGUGUUUCUCUUACUUUGGAAUUUCUGGUUCAUUUUUUUUUUUCUUCCUACUUAUCCCCUUUAUUCUAAGGCAGGGUGGGUUUGGAGAUGAUUUAUAUUGAAGAAGAAAAAUAUACAGGCCCAAACUGAAAUUCCAAAGGAUUUGAGGUAGGUUUCUUUAGAUCCAGGGACGAUACUGUUUGUCUAGAUUUAUCCAUCCCUUUUGAUUUCUUGGAUAUGGUAAGGAAUUCUCAUAUCUCUGCUACUAGACUUUGAGAUCCAGUAGAAUGAACGAAGAUGCUCAGAAAAGGUCUCUUAAAUGAAUAUAAUAAUAAAUAUUCCUUAAAGUAUGUGUUUUAUUCCCAUAUCUUACAUCAUUUGAUACACCAUACUGUUUGAGUUCUGACUGGUGGAUGCCAGUGCCUGGGCACUGUGGUAUCAUUCUGGUUACAGCUUCCAGUAGGCAUGGUAUCAACCAAGCCAAAGAGUAAUUAUUUUCUCCUAUAAAAUAGAACUUUAUUGUAUCACAUAAGUACAAAUAUAAAAGGAACAUUCUACUUAAUUAAAAAUUACAUAAUAAAAUCUACACUCUACAUUUUAAACACACAUUUGAAAAAAAAAAAAAAAGCCACAUAGAGAACUAAGGCUAAACAAAUACAGUUGACCCUUGAACAACCCAAGUUUGAACUGCGCAGAUCCACCUAAUGCAUGGAAAUUUUUUAUAACUACAGUACAGCACUGUAUAUAUAUUCUCUCUUCCUCAUGAUUUUCCUAAUAAAAUUUUCUUUACCUUACUUUCUUGUAAGGAUAACAGUAUAUAAUACAUGUAACAUAUGUGUUAAUUGAAUAUUUAUGUUAUCAAUAAGGCUUCUAGUCAACAGUAGGCUAUUAGUUCCAUUUUGGGGGAGUCAGAAGUUAUACAUGGAUUUUCAGCUGUGUGGGGUUGGGCACUCUUAAGCCCUGCAGUUGUUCAAAAGUCAACUGUACAUGCAUCUAGGUACAGUUAAAUACCUCGCUAACAUUUAGCUAUUCAGUCACUGUGAUGUAAACUCCAUGUUUCCCCGGACUUAAGUAGAUCCCAACUUAAACCUUCCAAGGCUUCUCCAUGUGAUGCUCAUUGAGGAGAUUUGUAGAAAGCCUUACACCUCUCCCUAGAAACAAUGAUCUUCACCUGCUGGUUCUCAAUUUAAAAGGGAGAAGAAUUUUAAUUGCCAUUCCAAGAAUAAAGGUCUAUUUGCUUUCCUAAACUGCUACUUUCUCCUGUAACCUAAAACACACAGAAAGUUAAAAAAAAAAAAAAAGUGAUAUCAGGGCACCUGGGUGACUCAGUCAGUUGAGCGUCUGACUUUGGCUCAAGUCGUGAUCUCACAGUUGGUGAGUUUGAGCCCCACAUUGGGCUCACUGUUGUCAGUACAGAGCCCGCAUUGAAUCCUCUGUCCCCACCCUCUGUCUGCACUUACCCCACUUGGGCUCUCUCUCUAAAAAAAAAAAAAAAAAAAAAAAAAAAAAAAAAAAAGGUGAUAUCACUAAAUCUAAUCAAAAAGAAAUUUUACUGGCACCUGGCCCGUCUCAAAUCUCCACAACUUGCCUGUUAUCUACUCUGGCUUCAGUCUGCCAUAUUUUUAAGAUGGAUCUCUUUCCUCAGAACCCCUUUAAAGAAAAAAAAACUCACUUAUAUACAACAUUACAUAGUAUUAAAGUAGAAAUAGGAGAUUGUUUUCCAUCCUUUACCAUCAUGUUUAAAGUGCAUUUUAUCUACCAAAGUUAUUUAAUAACUUACUAAACUUAUCUUAAACAUAGCUCCUUGGAAGGACAUUAAGAACCUAUCCUGGAAGCCCCUUCUAAAGAAAGGACAGCAAAAUGCCCCCAAAAUGUUGCCUGCUUGGAAAGUCAUCUAAAAGUUUAGUGCUGAGGAAGUGACAUUGAGUGGCAGCUUGGACAUGUGCAGAGCUGGCAGAAGGGGACUUGGACAGGCAUCAGAAGCUCCUCCAGCUACUCAGAACUGGAGGACUUGAUGGGCAGGGGAGCGGUGAGAAGAGGGGACAGGGGCUGUGGUGGAUUUCAUGCUUCUGUGGCUUGCCUCUGUCUCUAAGCAUAGCCCAGAGAUGCUCUGGCAGGAGUGGGAGCAGCUGGAUAGAUCAAGAAAGGCUUUUGUCCUUGCCACUCACUAACAGACCAGAUUUGGGGUGAGAGAUGCAAAAUAAACAGGACUUCAGGCAGGUUUGGAAUGAUCUUAAUACGCUGAAGCUUAAUCUUGAUUAGCAUGCUUGAGGUUUGAAUUGUGUGGAAUUUUUUAGACAGAAGUAGGUGGAUUUGCAUUCAUCCUAGGGAUGUGUUGAGGAAACCUUCACCCCCUUCUCACAAUACAACACUUAGCUUUCAUUUCAAUAUGUAACACUAAACACUUUUUUUUUUCCUUUAAGGAAAGAUCAUUAAGAAUGAUCUUUCUACAAGGAAAUCAUGGGAAAUAACAAAAUCUCUCAAAAUCUGUUUUUAUGUGCUGUUAGAAAUAAUCAUUUGAAGGGUUUUUGUUUUGUUUGUUUUUUUUUCUCUUGAUCAUUCUGGAAAAAAUUUGUGGGCGAGGACGAUGUGGAAAACUUCAGCAUUAAAAAUAAUAUCCUAAGUAAUCCAAAAGGGAAAUUAAUUUUCACUUCAAAGGUGUUCAAUAGCACAAACAUUAAAAUAAUGAGUGAACUGGCUCUCCUGAGAAAAUGCCAACUGUUGCUGCUUCCCACUGGGUUCUACGUGUAACAAGCUUCUCUAGCUGCCUUAACUUCUAACUCUGUCAGGAGACUUAAGAGGGACAUCUCUUCCAGCAAUUAGAAACGAUCUACUGUGUUACUACACACCAACUUCUCCCAUUGUUCAGUCUCUAAGAAUUAGUUGGUUUCCUUAACAAGUGAAACUGUCAUUGUUUUUGAAAAAUAUUAAUAGUAAUACGAGGCAACUCAGACGCAAAGGGUGUCUGAAUUGAUGGCAUCUCCCUUUCAGCCCUGUAGGAACAGCAAGUAUGAUGGAGUACCCAUUCAGACCCAGAUACAGAGAACAGGCCCUUAGGGGACGGCCUUGUUGGAAAUUUCAAGGCAAUGAUUUCCCUGUUAAGCUUUGUAGCAGACAUGAAAUGUGGGUAGUGUAAAUAAUUUAAGUUCAUCUUCUAUAAUGUUUCAUGUUAUUAUAUAAAAGGUAGAAGUUGAAAAAGAGAAACAAAGGACUUAAGCAAUCCAUUAGGUGAAUAAUCAUUUAUUGAAAAAUUAGAAACGGACUCUGGGAAAGCCGGUUACAGAGCUGGCUUGUUGAAAUACCUUCUUCCAUGUGACCUUCCCUCAAAGUUGCCUGACUCUAGUGUCUCCUACCAUUUAAAGGGUGAUACAGGUGCUGCCACUCCAAGCUCCACACCUCAACUCUCACCCAUAAAAUUCACAAAUACCUUCGUCCGUUAGUGUUUUUCUUUUUUUUUUUAAUUUUUUUUUAACAUUUAUUUAUUUUUGAGACAGAGAGAGAGCGUGAGCAGGGGAGGGUCAGAGAAAGAGGGAGACCCAGAAUCUGAAACAGGCUCCAGGCUCUUAGCUGUCAGCACCGAGCCCGACGAGGGGCUCGAACCCACGGACCGCGAGAUCAUGACCUGAGCCGAAGUCAGACGCUCAACCGACUGAGCCACCCAGGCGCCCCUGUUAGUGUUUUUCAAGAGUAGUAGCAGAUGUGGACUAUGCUGUGAACAAUCUUAACUAUAUAGAUUUUUAAAAGGUUCACAGUUCCCGCCCCCCACACACAAAUAUUCCUCAUUCAUAACUAUAUUCAAACAAGUGUCCCAUUUGACUAAAAUAAUACCUGCUUUUGAUAAGGGGAGCUACAUGCCAGAGGUUUUCUGGGGGUGGAGGUUGGGAGAGUGGACAGUCAAAAUCUGGGAGAGAAAGGAGAAAAGAAAAUCUUCUAAGUACAUUAGUUUCCCUUAUAAUAUUAACAUGAAAAUAAAAAUUAAAGACACUAAAAUGCCCCAGGGGAAAAGUCUAUGAAAACUUUAAAAAAGGGAUAUAGGGGUGCCUGGGUGGCCCAGUAAGUUGAGUGACUUCAGCUCACGUCACGAUCUCACAGUCUAUGAGUUCAAGCCCCACGUUGGGCUCUGUGCUGACAGCUUAAAGCCUGGAGCCUACUUCAGAUUGUGUCCCCCUCUCUCUCUCUGUUCCUCUUCAGCUUGUGCUCUAUCUCUGUUUCAAAAAUAAACAAACACUAAAAAGAAUUUUAAAAAUAAAAAAGGGAUAGAUAAUGAUUUCUAUAACCAAGUUAUCUCAAAAGAACUUAAACAUCUCUAUCCCCAACCUUCAAAAUAUCUAAAAUGAAUUUUAGGACAUUAAUCCAAUUGUUUUGGGUUUUUUUUAAUGUUUAUUUAUUUUUGAGAGAGAGGGGGAGAGUGCAAGUGGGGAAGGGACAGAGAGAGAGAAAGAGUAUCUGAAAUGGGCUGACAACAGACAGCCAGAUGUGGGGCUCCAACUCCUAAACCCAGAGACUAUGACCCUGAGCCUAAGUCAGACACUUAACCAACUGAGCCACCCAGGUGCCCAACCCAAUUGUUUUAUCUUUAAAAAUACUCCUAAACAAAACUAAUAAAAUAGUAAUUAUCAGAUAGGACUGCAGAAAUCCCAAGGUUGCCUCUAGCAACUAUUUCUAACUUUGUUGGAAUGUUGGUGUAUCAGAGGGUGUGUUUCUUUUUCUCUCAGGUACUCUGGUAAUAGGCUCCCCUAAAUUGAAAUGCCUGCUUUAGUGAUUGUCUCUGGUUUUCCCCCUUGCUUUCCCUGGACUAUUAUUAUUAAUUCUGUCUAUGGUAGGUACUAUUUAUGUUGAAAGAUUUCCUGAGGACUGUUAUCAGCACUGCCCACAAGGAAUCCCACUUUUUCUCUUGAUGUAUUCAUGUAAUUUAUAAUUUGAACCUAUGAGAGGGCUCAAUGGAGAGAUUAUUUAGAAGGCUACUUGAGGCAUAGUACAAUAUGGAUUACCAUAGCUAAUCCAGGUCAUUAUAAUCUUUACCAGAAGUUAUUUGCUCUUGUGUAUAAGUGAAACUAAAUGUACAAUUAUUUUAUCUUAAAGACCAUGCUUAUUAGAGAAAGACAAGAUUAAGAUUCUGUAGUUCCCAGGGUGCCCGGGUGACCCAGUUGGUUGAGUGUCCAAGUCUUGAUCUUGGGGUCAUGGGAUCAAGGCCUGCAUCAGGCUCUGUGCUGAGCUUGGAGCCUGGUUGGGAUUUUCUCUCUCUUCUCUCUCUCUCUCUGUCCCUCCCCCCUGCUCACUCUCUCUCUCUUAAAAAAAAAAAAAAAAGAUUCUGUAGUUCCCUUUAAAGCUCCCAAGGUAUCUUCCUUAUAGUCAUAUUUGUCUAUAUAUUAAAUUGUAUUUAUAGUACUUUCUAUAUAGGCUUGGAUUUAUUGAUGUAUAUAUGUGAUUAUACAUGGAUGUAUGUAUCUAGACUUGGUUAUGCAUAGACGUAAAAAUAAAAUUACAGAUAUUAUAACAUAAACAAUACAUGUAGAAUUUAACAUUAAGAUGUCUUUUAAAAUUGGACCUAAGAGUGGGGUGGCUGGAUGGCUUAGUUGGUUAAGCGUCUGACUUCGGCUCAGGUCAUGAUCUCACAGUCCGUGAGUUUGAGCCCCGCGUCGGGCUCUGUGCUGACAGCUCAGAGCCCGGAGCCUGUUUCCAAUUCUGUGUCUCCCUCUCUCUCUGCCCCUCCCCUGUUCAUGCUCUGUCUCUCUCUGUCUCAAAAAUAAAUAAACGUUAAAAAAAAAAAAAUUAAAAAAAAAAAAAAGAAUGAUCAGGCAGUUCUGAAAAAUACUAAAUGGAACACCUAAAUAUAAAAUAUGUAAAUGUUGAAAGAAAAAAAUGAAACAUAUUAAAAAGCAGAUUAGCCACAGCUGAAAAUGCAUUAAUGAACUCAAACAUAGAAAUGAACAAAUUAACCAGAAUAUAAUCCUGAAAGAAAAAGGACUGGAAAAUAAAAAUAGUAUAAAGUGUUGAGGAUAAAAUGAGACAAUCUAACAUAUGUCAAAUCAGAGUCACAGAAGAAGAGAAUAAAGCUAAUCUAGGAGUAAUAGGCAAGAAAUUUCCAGAAAUGCUGAAAGCUAUUAAUCUACAAUUUCAGAAAGCACAAUAUUCCCAAAAAGGAUGAAUAAAAAGAAAAUCAAUGCCGAGAUAUCACAAAGUAGUGACUCUAGAGCAGCAAAGACAAAAGUUCUUAAAGCAACUAGAGAGGAAUUGCAUCACAAAAAGAUGAUCAUUUCAUGGACAACAGACUGAUCAACAGUAAUAACAGAAAACAGGAGGCAAUGGAAUAAUAUAUUUGUUGCUGAGAGGAAAGACUUAUGAAGCAUUAACUGUUUUAGAGUGAAAUCAAGACACAAACUAAAACUGAGAGUUUAUCAACAGACUCACACUAAAGGAACUUUGAAUCUCAAGUUGACUUUAGAAAGAUCAUAUUCUCUGAUGACAAUUCAAUUAAUACAGAAGUCAAUAGCAAAAAGGUAUUUUCCAAGUCCCCACAUACUUGAAAAGAGACUGCUUAAUCAUUCAUUUAUCAAUAAAUCAUAAUGAAUUUCAAAUACUUAAAGCUAAAUUAUAAUGAAAAUACAACAUGUCAAAACUAUUAUUUUUGAAAGAAAUUUGUCACCUAUAAUUAGGAAAGGGAGAAGUCUGAAAAAUGAAGUAAGCACCCACCUUAAGUAUUUAGAAAAGAACAAGAGAAUAAACUCAAAGAAAAUAAAAGGAAAGAAAUAAUAAUAAGAGAAUUCCAUGAAAUCAAAAAGUACAACAGAAAGAUAAAGAUGAAAGUCAGCUUUUUGGAAAGACUUAAAAAACAAUCCAUUGGCAAGACUGAGGAUAAAGGAGAGUACAAAUAAUACACCAACUAAAAAGGGCUUGUAAAUAUAGAUACAGCAGAGAUAAAAAAAGACAACACAAAUUUAUUGGCAAUUUUGUGCCAAUAAAUUUGAAAACCUAGGUAAAUUUUGAUAAUUCUUAGAAAAUAUAACUUACUAAGACUGACUUAAGAAUUACAAAAUCUGAAUAGUCCUAAAGCUACUAAAGCAACUAAAUCAAUAGUCUAAAAUCUUCCUCCAAGGAAAGACUAGGCCCAUUUAAUUUUAUAGGUGAAAUUACUAAAUAUCAAUGUUGAUUUCUAUGUUUUACAGACUUAGCAGCAAAUAGAAAAAUAAGAAAUACUCCCGAAAUCAUUUCAUAUAACCUGGGCACAAAAGAUAGCAAGUACAAUUCAAGAAUAGAAAUUAUAGGUCAAUCUCAGUCAAGCUCAUUCACCUAAGAAAAGUAUUAUCACAUCUGGUGGAGUUAAACAAAAAGUUUAUCAUGACCUUGUUGGGUUUAUUCCAGGAAUGCUAGAGAAGUUUAACAUUAGAAAAUCUAGAAUUGUGACCCAAUAUAAUAGAUUAAAAGGGAGAACCCAUAUAUAAUCUCAGUAGAAGAAGAAAAAGUAUGGGAUAAAGUUGACCAUAGAUUCAACAUAAAAAGUCUUAUCAAACUUUGAGGAGAAGAUAAUUUUCUUUAUGUGAAUUAAGGUAUCUAUCAAACCUUUAGUAAACAUCAUUCUUAAUGAUGAAAAGUUAAAAGCAUCCCACUGGAAAUCAGAAACUAAAAACAACUUAUUAGUAAUAAUAAGAGACUUUGACAAAGUGGCUGGCUUUAAGACCACUCAAUUGCCUUUCUAAACAAUGGUCAUAAACAUUUAAAAAUGUAAAAGGAGCUCCUGGGUGGCUCAGGCGGUUAAGCGUCUGACUCUUGAUUUCAGCUCAGGUCAUGAUCCCAUGGUUCAUGGGACUGAGCCCCAAUUUGGGCUCUGUGCCGACAGCUUGGAACCUGCUUGGUAUUCUCUGUCUCCCUCCUCUGUUCAUGUGCACUCUCUCUGUCUCAAAAAUCAAUAAAUUUUUUGGGGCGCCUGGGUGGCUCAGUCGGUUAAGCGUCCAACUUCAGCUCGGGUCACGAUCUCGCGGUCCAUGAUUUCGAGCCCCGCGUCAGGCUCUGGGCUGAUGGCUCAGAGCCUGGAGCCUGCUUCCAAUUCUGUGUCUCCCUCUCUCUGCCCCUCCCCCGUUCAUGCUCUGUCUCUCUCUGUCCCCAAAAUAAAUAAACGUUAAAAAAAAAAAUUUUUAAAUAAAUAAAUUUUUUAAAAAAUGUAACAUAAAAAAGGUUCAAUUUAUAAUUGCAAUAAAAAUAUAAGGUAUCUGGGAAUACACCUAACAAAAGGCAUACAAGAUUUGUAUAGAAAAAAUAUAAAACUUGAUAGAAAGUCAUUAGAGUCUUAAAUGAAAAGAUGUACCAUGUUUAUGGACAGCAAUUGUAAUAUUGUAAAGAUGUAUAUUCUAUCAAACUGACCUAUAGAUUUAAGAUUCCAGCAGGAUUUUUCAUGGAAUGGGCAAGCUAAUUAUAAAAUGCACAUGAAAAAGCAAAGGGCUAAGAGAAACUAAGACUCUUAAAGAAUUGAGUGUAGGGGUGCCUGGGUGGCUCAGUCGGUUGAGUGUCCCACUUCGGCUCAGGUCAUGAUCUUGUGGUUCGUGGGUUUGUGCCCCGCAUUGGGCUCUAUGCUGACAGCAUAGAGCCUGGAGCCUGCUUCGAAUUCUGUGUCUCCCUCUCUCUCUGCUCCUCCCCAGCAUGGGGAGCAUGUCUCUCUCUCUCUCUCUCUCCUUCAAAAAUAAAUUUAAAAACAUUAAAAAAAAAAAAAAAGAAUUGAGUGUGACAGGAGUACCUAUGUGACUCAGUUGGUUAAGUGUCUGACUCUUGAUUUCAGCUCAGGUCAUGAUCUCACAGCUUUGAGAUCAAGCCCCCCAUUGUGCUCUGAGCUGACAGCAUGAACCUGCUUGGGAUUCUCUCUCUCCCUCUCUCUUGCCCCGCCCCUAUCAUGCAUGUGCUCUCUCUUUCUCUCUCUCUCAAAAUACAUAAACUUUAAAAACAAAAACAAAAAAAAGUGAGUAUAACAACUUGUACCAAGUAUAAAGGCUUUCUAUAGAGCUACAAUAAUUAAAAGUUUAAUCUUGGCAGAUUAUUAGAAAAGCAGACAAAUGGAGAGUGACCGAAUGGAACAGAAAAUAGGUCCAAACAUACAGAGACACUUGAUAUUUAAUAGAGGUGAGAUCGUAGAUCACUGGUGGUGAGACAGGCUAUGAAGGAUCAGGGAGAAGGGAAUUGGAAGGAACUGUCGAUAGGUAUAAAAUUUCUUUUGGGGGUGGGAGGUGAUAUGAAUAAUCUCAAAUUAGAAGAUGGUCAUGGUCACACAACUUUGUAAAUAUACUGAAAGCUGUUGAACUAUUUACUUUAAAAAGUGAAUUUUAUGGCAUGUAAAUUGUAUACCAGUAA